GUAGGAGUGAGCCUGCUCGCGAUGGCGGUGUGUCAGUCAGCAUGUGUAACAACUGGCGGACCUUUAUCGCGAGCAGGCUCACUCCUAC
rnacentral:antisense_RNA from 1 species